ACACUCCUACGGGAGGCAGCAGUGGGGAAUUUUGGACAAUGGGCGAAAGCCUGAUCCAGCAAUGCCGCGUGAGUGAAGAAGGCCUUCGGGUUGUAAAGCUCUUUUGUCAGGGAAGAAACGGUGAAAGCUAAUAUCUUUUGCUAAUGACGGUACCUGAAGAAUAAGCACCGGCUAACUACGUGCCAGCAGCCGCGGUAAUACGUAGGGUGCAAGCGUUAAUCGGAAUUACUGGGCGUAAAGCGUGCGCAGGCGGUUUUGUAAGUCUGAUGUGAAAUCCCCGGGCUCAACCUGGGAAUUGCAUUGGAGACUGCAAGGCUAGAAUCUGGCAGAGGGGGGUAGAAUUCCACGUGUAGCAGUGAAAUGCGUAGAUAUGUGGAGGAACACCGAUGGCGAAGGCAGCCCCCUGGGUCAAGAUUGACGCUCAUGCACGAAAGCGUGGGGAGCAAACAGUAUUAGAAACCCCAUUAGUCCCA
rnacentral:rRNA from 1 species